UACGUAGGGUGCAAGCGUUGUCCGGAAUUAUUGGGCGUAAAGAGCUCGUAGGCGGUUUGUCACGUCUGCUGUGAAAACUCGGGGCUUAACUCCGGGCCUGCAGUGGGUACGGGCAGACUAGAGUGCGGUAGGGGAGACUGGAAUUCCUGGUGUAGCGGUGAAAUGCGCAGAUAUCAGGAGGAACACCGGUGGCGAAGGCGGGUCUCUGGGACGGUACUGACGCUGAGACGCGAAAGCGUGGGGAGCGAACAGG
rnacentral:rRNA from 1 species